AGGAGCAGGCGCGCAAUUUCCCAUUGCUGAUAUAGCGAGGUAGUAACAAGAAAUGACUGUGCAGGGCACUUAUGUCCUGCAAUUGGAAUGGAUAGAUUGUAAAUACCUUUGUGAGUAGCCAUUGGAGGGCAAGUCUGGUGCCAGCAGCCGCGGUAAUUCCAGCUCCAAUAGCGUAUAUUAAAGCUGCUGCGGUUAAAAAGUUCGUAGUCGAAAGCCUGUCGCGGACAGGGGGUCCGUCCUUUGGACGUGAAUUCAGCUUGUCUGGGGCAUCACGGUAUUCUCCGCGCUGCAGUUGACUCUGCGGCACGGGGUCUGCCGCAUUUACUUUGAGGAAAUCAGUGUGCUUCGAGCGAGCAGGGGCUCAUAUAUAUUAGCAUGGAAUAACACUAAAGAGUCGCACUCCAAAUUUGUUGGUUUCGAUUGUGAGACUGAUGCGCAAAGGGAUAGUUGGGGGCAUUCGUAUUUAACUGUUAGAGGUGAAAUUCUUGGAUUAGUCAAAGACGCUCUACUGCGAAAGCAUUUGCCGAAGAUGUUUUCAUUGAUCAAGAACGAAAGUUAGGGGAUCGAAGACGAUCAGAUACCGUCCUAGUCUUAACCAUAAACAAUGCCAGCUAGAUAUUGGGAGGCGUAGCAAGCCCGACACUCUCAGCAUCUUAUGAGAAAUCAAAGUUUUUGGGUUCCGGGGGGAGUAUGGUCGCAAGGCAGAAACUUAAAGGAAUUGACGGAAGGGCACCACCAGGAGUGGAGCCUGCGGCUUAAUUUGACUCAACACGGGGAAACUUACCAGGUCCAGACAGAGGCAGGAUUGACAAACUAAUAGCUCUUUCUUGAUUCUAUGGGUGGUGGUGCAUGGCCGUUCUUAGUUGGUGGAGUGAUUUGUCUGGUUUAUUCCGUUAACGAACGAGAUCCCAACCUGCUAAAUACAGACGCCUACGUAUUCCUACGCGGUGCGCUUCUUAGAGGGACACUACGUGUCUAACGUAAGGAAGCCUGGGGCAAUAACAGGUCUGUGAUGCCCUUAGAUGUCCUGGGCUGCACGCGCGCUACUCUGAUGCAGCCAUCUAGUUGUCUGACCUCUCCUGAGAAGGAUGGGUAAGCUCUCAAACUUGCAGCGUGAUGGGGAUAGAUUAUUGAAAGUUUCAAUCUUGAACGAGGAAUUCCUAGUAAGCGCGUUUCAUCAGCUCGCGCUGAUUGCGUCCCUGCCCUUUGUACACACCGCCCGUCGCUCCUACCGAUUGAGUGGUCCGGUAAACAAUUGAAGAGCAGCGUGGGUCAGCUCCUGAGGCACUCGGCUUGAAAUCUCGUGAACCUAUCAAAUGAA
rnacentral:rRNA from 1 species